CAACUUAAUGAACAAAGAACUACGACUCGACCUCUAACAAUGGAGCGAUUCGGGAUUAAAUGCUAUGAGAUGCCUUUGCCUAUCUGCGGUGGAUCGCAUGUAUCAAUGAUUACAAGCUAGGCCAAUCCCUGUCUGUAAAUGGGGAAACAAAAGGGGUGUGAGUCUCACAAACUCAGUGAUCAUCGACCCCGUGAGCACGUAAGAAGGGGAAACAAAUAUGAAGAUGGAAUGUUUAUAAAUCUAAGAGUAAGCAUAGAAAACACACUCCAUUAAAUUGAGAGAUUUUGUUUUUAUACCUUGCAAGUCUUAAAAAUAAUGAAUUACAAGUAAACAUAUAUGAAAAUGGUUGUAUUUAAGGUACUAGAAAUCUUUCAACUUUGAUAUCCAGUCAACAGUAAAUCCAAUGGCAACUGUAAAAUGAAGAGUCUCAAACAUAAAAAUGUGAAAUAACUGAUCACCAAUGAAUAUGUAAAUUUCACUUGCCAUUCAAUAGUAAAAUUCAAGUGUUAAUGCCAUGGAUUGUGUAAAAAAAAUCCACAAAAGAGCAUCAUUCUCUGGUAGGUUUAAUAUAACCCUUAGGCUUACUCUCUCAGACAUCAUCACCUACUCGUGAGAACUGCCCAAUCCACCAUAUAUAAAUCGAGGCUUCAGGUCCUCUUUUACCUAUUCGUGGGAACUGCCCACGCCACUCAAUAUAAAUCGAGGCUUCAAGUCCCUCUUCACCUACUCGUGGGAACUGCUCACGCCACCCAAUAUGAAUCGGGGCUUCAGGUCCCCCUUUUUACAAUCAAAUAUCGAUAAUCAACAAAUACUACUUUGUGCACAAAUACCACACUUAACCUGGUGUGGUAACAGGUUUUACCCAGAGUAUCUCAAUUACGUUAAAAUGAAAAUCAUUGCAAUUUAAUGCAUUUACAAAACCUGACAGAUCAAAAGCAAUAUAAUCAUAAAUUGAAUGUUUUGCAUAAUUUAUUUCAAAAGCAUGGCAUAUCCAUCAAAUCAACAUGCUUAGUGAAAUCAAUAGUAUUUUUUUAAAAAAAUAUCAUGAAUCAAAUAAUGACCAUUGACCCAAACAUCCACAAGCUUGCAAGGUAUGAUUUUGAAGCAAAAAACCAGUCAAAGGUUUGUUUCCUCGUAAUUAAAACCUUGUAGAUAUAUACUUAUAUAUAAUAUAAAAAAAAACGAAUUUAAAACCCUUGAUUGCAAUCACAAACAACCUAAGGCUUUCUACCAACUUACGCUUUCCACAAUUUCGUCAACCAUCAAAUGUAUCAUAUAUAAUAUAUUUAUCGGGAUAUGGUUUUUGAAAUUUAGCACCUAUUCAGCUCACAAUAACGGGAUGCUAUGUCGUUAUUUCUAUUUACCGAUCGCUCGUCACUUGCUCUCUUACACGCCGCUAUAAUGCACUAUCUUUACUUUGGUACUUCCUAUCAACAAUCCAAACUUAAUAUAUUUAGUGCAUCAAUUCCACUUCUAUUUCUCAUUUUAUCAUGAAUCCAUAUUCGACUAACUCACAUCUUAAUACAUUUUUACUAAAAUCGCUUAUAUCCUUUGCUCACGUAACCCUUUAGAUUAUAAUCACCGACAACUUAUUUAUGAUAUUAAGUGCCUACUUAAGCUUUAGAAGUAACUUCCGCCCAAAUCCAUCUUAAUAUUUUUAUAAUAUUAACCAUAUUUACGGCAACCACAAUCAUUUUAAAUCUACUCAAUUAUUUUCCAAUUUCCAUCCACAUUAUUCCCUUUUAUUUCUUCCAAUUAAUAUACCAUGCAACUUAACACUUCCAACUAAUUUAUGUAAAUAAAUUCCUUCGACAAUAAUAAUUCCUCACAAUAAACAAUUUCAAAAUUUCUUAACUAUAUUUAAAACACUAUUCAUUCAUCUCAUAUUUUCUUAUUUGCUUUAAUCCUAUGAGAUAUCAUAAAAGAAUUUUUAAAUAUUGUAUUAAAGUAACUUAAUUUAAUUCAUAUUACCAAUAAUCUAAAUUUAGCUAAACAAGAUGGGCUAGCCCUUCAAAUAAUUCAAUUUCAUAACAAGCCCAUGAAACAAAUAAAAAGGCAAGGAAAUUUACCAAAUUGGGCUAAGUUGGCCCAAAUCUCCACAUUUCUUCUCUUUCUCUUUUUCUUCUUCCUUCCUUGUUCCAGCCG
rnacentral:lncRNA from 1 species